GACGAACGCUGGCGGCGUGCCUAAUACAUGCAAGUAGGACGCACAGUUUAUACCGUAGCUUGCUACACCAUAGACUGUGAGUUGCGAACGGGUGAGUAACGCGUAGGUAACCUGCCUAUUAGAGGGGGAUAACUAUUGGAAACGAUAGCUAAUACCGCAUAACAGUAUGUAACACAUGUUAGAUGCUUGAAAGAUGCAAUUGCAUCGCUAGUAGAUGGACCUGCGUUGUAUUAGCUAGUAGGUAGGGUAAAGGCCUACCUAGGCAACGAUACAUAGCCGACCUGAGAGGGUGAUCGGCCACACUGGGACUGAGACACGGCCCAGACUCCUACGGGAGGCAGCAGUAGGGAAUCUUCGGCAAUGGGGGGAACCCCUGACCGAGCAAACGCCGCGUGAGUGAAGAAGGUUUUCGGAUCG
rnacentral:rRNA from 1 species